rnacentral:rRNA from 1 species
AUUGAACGCUGGCGGCAUGCUUUACACAUGCAAGUCGAACGGCAGCGCGGGCUUCGGCCUGGCGGCGAGUGGCGAACGGGUGAGUAAUACAUCGGAACGUGCCCAGUAGUGGGGGAUAGCUCGGCGAAAGCCGGAUUAAUACCGCAUACGACCUGAGGGUGGAAGCGGGGGAUCUUCGGACCUCGCGCUAUUGGAGCGGCCGAUGGCAGAUUAGCUAGUUGGUGGGGUAAAGGCCUACCAAGGCGACGAUCUGUAGCUGGUCUGAGAGGACGACCAGCCACACUGGGACUGAGACACGGCCCAGACUCCUACGGGAGGCAGCAGUGGGGAAUUUUGGACAAAGGGCGAAAGCCUGAUCCAGCAAUGCCGCGUGUGUGAUGAAGGCCUUCGGGUUGUAAAGCACUUUUGGCGGGAACGAAAAGGACUGUGCCAAUACCACGGUUCGAUGACGGUACCCGCAGAAUAAGCACCGGCUAACUACGUG